GUGGGGAAUUUUGGACAAUGGGGGCAACCCUGAUCCAGCCAUGCCGCGUGCGGGAAGAAGGCCUUCGGGUUGUAAACCGCUUUUGUCCGGAAAGAAAAGGCACCUCCUAAUACGGGGUGUUCUUGACGGUACCGGAAGAAUAAGCACCGGCUAACUACGUGCCAGCAGCCGCGGUAAUACGUAGGGUGCGAGCGUUAAUCGGAAUUACUGGGCGUAAAGCGUGCGCAGGCGGUUCGCAAAGUCUGAUGUGAAAGCCCCGGGCUCAACCUGGGAACUGCAUUGGAAACUAACGGGCUCGAGUGUGGCAGAGGGGGGUGGAAUUCCACGUGUAGCAGUGAAAUGCGUAGAGAUGUGGAGGAACACCGAUGGCGAAGGCAGCCCCCUGGGCUAACACUGACGCUCAGGCACGAAAGCGUGGGGAGCAAACAGGAUUAGAUACCCCUGUAGUCC
rnacentral:rRNA from 1 species